GGAAAAGUAAAGAAAGAACCUGAAGAAAAGAAAGGGAAAGGAACUAAACAUAAUGGUGUACCUUGUGGCAGAUGAAGGUCUUCUUUGUUAAUUACUUAACUCUUCGAGCCCUUUGAUGCAAACAUCUCCAUCCACAAGCCAGGUGGGAUGAGAAAUAAUUGGUUUAAUGUAUAGCAACAUACCCUUGGAGUAGGUGUAACCAAAGACUGUAGGAGAGCCGUGUGUCCUGGAAGGAACAAGGAAGGAGAUUACAGCAUUGUCUUCACUGAAGACUUUUCAGAGCAGAUGAGAGGGCAUAGGCAAUGGCCAAGCACCUCUCAGGACAUCUCUGAUCUUCUUCAUGAGCCAAACCAUUGGACUGGGAAGAGACUACGUGACUGUAUGGUCCAUUCCUCCUCCCCAAAGCACAUCUAAUUACAAAGUAUUAAUGUGUGUCAGGAAGCAAUGCAACAGUUAUUAAAAUAACUCCACAAAAUAGGAAAUAAUACUUCUGUGAGUCAUGGGAGGUUACAGCAAUACAGUGCUCUGUAGGUCACCAGUUUGCCCAUAUUAACCUGCAGCGUGGAGUUAAACCAAAAGAGAUGACAGAAAAAGAGUCGAGCUGGGAUAAAACUGCAGAUGAGGACAAGCCAUCUGCAGGGACAAGAUGAGCCCUUUCCCCCUUCAGGAGAUGAGCAUUGGCCUGGGGGUGAAUACCUGCCUUCCAGAGCUUCAGGUCUGAUUCUUGGCAAACAUCAUGGAAGCUGUCAGGAGGUGAGGUUCAGCUUCAGAGAGUGCUAUGAGACUGAGAGAGAUGCUGGGGGUCAGGACAGCACCAAAAGGUACUGUCACCGGAAACCAAGAGUAUAAAGUGGAACUUGGUCAUGGCCUCAAUAAAUGCUAGAUACAGACACAGUGUGGAUUUUGUCAGCAAGAAGGUGGUGAAUGCAAAGAGCCUGAGUUUACUGACUGUGAGAUGUAAACUGUUUGCUCUUGAGGAAGAGGAUGGUUCAUUAGUUCCUGUAAACCUGGGCACAAACAGACCCGGAACAUCCCUGUCAGGGCACAGGAAGGCUCAGUGGGACAACAUGAACCCCUCCCCCCAGGCAGAGGAUGGAAGAUGGCCUCAACCCCAUGUUCUUCAUCACACUUGUUUCUCG
rnacentral:lncRNA from 1 species